AGGAGCCGUGUGAGGUGAAAAUCUCAAGCACGGUUUUGGAGACCAGCGGGUCUCGUGAGGGACUCGCUGAGUUUAAU
rnacentral:ncRNA from 1 species